rnacentral:rRNA from 1 species
UACGUAGGCAGCAAGCGUUGUUCGGAGUUACUGGGCGUAAAGGGUGUGUAGGCGGUUGGAUAAGUGUGGUGUGAAAUCUCCCGGCUUAACUGGGAGGGUGCGCUACAAACUGUCUGACUAGAGUGUGGGAUGGGUAAGUGGAAUUCCUGGUGUAGCGGUGAAAUGCGUAGAUAUCUGGAGGAACACCGGUGGCGAAGGCGGCAUUCUGGACCGACAUUGACGCUGAGGAGCGAAAGCCAGGGGAGCAAACGGG